rfam:Desulfurococcus kamchatkensis 1221n, complete genome.
GCCGGGGUGCCCGAGCGGUCUAAGGGGGUGGGCUCGAGACCUUUCCGGCUACACGUGGGAGACCCACUGCCCCUUCACGGGGCGCGCGGGUUCAAAUCCCGCCCCCGGCG